rnacentral:lncRNA from 1 species
CUUUAGAAAGCAAAGUGUCUCCUUUUGGCCUGAGCUUGGAAACACAGUCAGGGCACCCUGUGCUAAACUUUGCACCCAGUAAUAAGCAGAGGAAGUUUAACACAAUGAAAACUUGAGGUGAGCUCAGGUAAUUGAAGAGAAAGGAAGGGCCGAAGAGAAAUUAAGUCAUUCCCUAAAGAAUAAUAUGGCCAACUAUAAUGUCUUUUCACCAGGACACAGUGAAAUGUGUUUGAAUUCUCUGCUUCUUUGCUCCUGGUCAUAAGGAAGUCGUGAAGAUCCUUGCAAAGGAAGAUAAGCCCCUCGUCUUGAAAUAGCCAUAUUCCAAUCAUGCGUGCCAGAAAUCUUGGAAAUUGAAACCUUCGACCAUGAACCAGGUCUGAGCUGUUUUCCUCAUUGGCUCUUGGGAUUUGAUUACAACGGCCCCAAUGUUACAUGAGUGGAGCAAAGAGCCUUAAGGGAAGUCCGCCUAGAUGGAGGGCUGAACUUCAGAUCUCGACCAAACUCCUCUUGGUUAACAUGUGGCUGAUCUUAUCAAGGAGGAUGUACAGCAAUGAAACAAAAUAUAACUACUCCAAGAAGUUCUAA